rnacentral:tRNA from 58 species
GGCGGAUGUAGCCAAGUGGAUCAAGGCAGUGGAUUUGUGAAUC